UACGUAGGUGGCGAGCGUUGUCCGGAAUUACUGGGGGUAAAGCGCGUGUAGGCGGUUGUUCAAGUCAGGUGUGAAAGCCUUGAGCUCAACUCAAGAAAUGCACUUGAUACUGGAUGACUAGAGGACCGGAGAGGAUAGUGGAAUUCCCAGUGUAGUGGUGAAAUACGUAGAGAUUGGGAAGAACACCAGUGGCGAAGGCGGCUAUCUGGACGGUUUCUGACGCUAAGACGCGAAAGCGUGGGGAGCAAACAGG
rnacentral:rRNA from 1 species